rnacentral:lncRNA from 1 species
GAAAAAUAAAUUCCCCCUCCUUCCCUACGCAUAACAAUCGGAUGAGCUUUGCGUGUUGUUAUAUGGGCGAAAAUGAGCACUUUGUCCGGAAAAACCUCGAUAUUAGGAACUGAAAAGGAACUUUAAUAAGCAUACAACACUUGAUUACCCAUAAAAUUUUGGCUGAUAAAUCCGAAAAUGACCUUAGUCUUUCUCCAUCGUGCACGGAUUUUCCGGAAAAUUGACUGUUCUCUGGAAAAUCUAGUUUCUUAGGGAAAAUUCCGAUUUUUGUGGGGAAAAUCGAGCUGACUAAGAAAAACGGAGAUCAUUUGCGGAAUCAGCGCUUUUUACUCGCAAUCAGUUGAUUAGUUGCAGGCAAAUUUAUCUGUUCCCUGGAAUCUAGCGCUUUAGAAUAAUCCCCUAUCAGCUCCGAUAAUUUAGCACGAUUCCAGAGGGGGGGGGGGGGGGCACAUUUUCAUUGUUUCCUUUUUAUGAGAAAGCAUCUUUUGCAUUGUGCUUUGUUUCUUUUCCGUCUACUGGUUCAUUUUCAGUGGCGUGGCUCACUUGUGGUAAAACGAUUUACCUGCCAUUUAAACCUAUGGAAAAGGAUCGAUGAACAGGGUGUUAGUAAUCUUAAUAAUAGAUUAUUUAUCGUAGCCUCAAAUAUGGAAAAGUAUCGAUAGUCGAGCAUUCACGCCUCGCCACUCUGUUCAUUAUCUAAUUCAUUUUUUCAACCUUAUUUUUUUCAUUUCAAAUUUAUAGAGGCCUCUCUGAUCGACUGUAUGUCUGGAAAAUCAUUGACGAAAAGAUCUGCAUCCGCUAAUGAAUCAUCCCAUAGACAUGAACGCCAUGUUAAUGAAGAUCUAGGAUCAAUGUCAAUGUUGCGCAGAUCCUUCUAUUCUUUUAAGGCAGCUCUAUCGUCCAAAGGUCCAAGACAGUUUUCCGACAAUGGGAAGCUUGAGAAUACAACCACAAUCAGUGAGACUAAGAGUUCAGUAAGUGGUGGCUCCUCGGGCGAAGAGGAUGGGCAUGAUUUUCUCAGGCAGCUAAGGCAGAAAUGCUGGCGAGACUGUUUGAAGAACCAUGGCUACUUCUACGAUUUGACCACAGGCGAAAGCCCUCCGCUCUCGGAAGGUGUGGUGAUAGAAGAACAUCAUUGCGCUUCGAAGCCGAGCCUAAUAUGCGUUUGUCGAAUGUCGACGUCGCUUUCUGACAUGCUAUCAAAGUGGGGCCUUCAUUCUAAAUCCUAUACAGCGAGGAACGGGGAGCUAAGAAAACGGAGAAUCCUCAAUCUUCUUCGGAAGAAACAUGUGUCGGUUUACAGCACAGAGGAUUUGCGCAUACUUACCAAGGAGAGUUUUAAGGAUCAUGGUGUGGCGUACAACGAGAGAACCAAGAAUGAAGUGGAUAUGAGGCUGAGAGCCGAGGCGAGGAUGAGAGCAGAGUGGGCAGCAGCCCAAGAAGCCGAGGCGAGGAUGAGAGCGGAGUGGGCAGCAGCCCAGGAAGCCGAGUCCAAACGUGGAAGUUCACCCGAGCUCGAUAUCCUGGAAGAUGAAGAUGAUGAAGGGGGUAGCUCAAAGGUCGUCUCGAGAAGAUAUUCGGAAAGUAGUCCACGGCGAAGCCCAGGAAGCAGCCCACGGCGGAGCCCACUAGAUCGACAUAGCAAUUCCUUGGUGACGAAGCGAUAUGAUGGAAAUAAAUAAGUAAAUGGAAAUAAUGAAAUAAAUGGAUAAGAAAACAAUGACGACGCACCUCUUAUACUAUAUGUAUUUGAUGUUAGUUGAACACUAUAAAAAUCAUGUUUCAAUCGGUCUGUUUGAAGGAGACCGCUUUUAGCAGAAAGGAACCAAGCCACAUCAGCUAAUGCCAAAUUUGUCUAGGCAAUUUAAAUUUUUAUACAAGAACAUUCUGGCGGACUCCUUUGAAAAUGUUGAGGAACUUGCUUCGUACUAUGCAGAAAAUUCAUUGAAAUUUGCAGAAAAAUCCGCACAACCAUUUUCAUGUACAAAAGUUAUUGGCCCAAUCAAAUUUGGCAAUAGCGGAUGUAGCUUAAUUCAUUUUUGCUUAACGCGGCCCAAGUAUGAUUGAAAUAAUACUGGCCGGAGACGGCCGGGGAAAAUGGGGUGUGCUGGUGCUCGUUUGAGCUGCAUAAGAAACAUUGCAAAAGUGGGCGUGAUUAUUUUGAAAAUUGGACAAAGGGAAUUUACAUUUAAUCAAAAAGAACUUGGCACCGAAAUUAUGCUAACUAAUGAGCCGUGGGCAUGGCACAAGAGCAUUGUUGACAGGGAUCAUGAGUUGAAGAGGCUCAUUGUCGGCGUCGUCAACACUGGCGUCAUUAGUUUUCAAUAUUUUGUGAGUGCCAUUUAUUCAGAAGCUUUUGGUUCAAUGGUUGAGAGUUGAUUACCUUUAUUUUCCUCUUCUUAUUUUUCUCUCUCGCAUCCUCUAGAGAAAUAUUAAAUCGUAUAAGUUCAUUUCUUCCUGUAAGGUUUCCAGUGUUUCGAUUUUCCAUAAGUUCGUCUAGAAAUAAAAAUCGCCUUCAAUCCGAGGUUUAAGCAACUUUAUAUGCAUAUCUAGCCUCACAAAUUUGUACGAAGCUCUCUCCGGUUUUUGUCACCUUCACUCAUGCAGUGCUUUGUCUAAGCAUCAGACAUGCAUUUUUUUACAUUGUCAGGUAAAUAGUUUUUUCUCUUUGUGUUUUCGUAUAGGGGAGAAAAGAAAUAAGCAAUCCGAACAUUAGAGUUUAGAGACAAACAUUUUAACUUUGCGGAAAAUCUAAAUUAUGGUUUAUUUCCUUUAGUCUUUCUUUAAAUAAAAUUCAUCUCUAUUGAUCAAUUCGCCACUCCUCUUAUGUCAGGGCAUAACUGGCAUUUUGAGAAGAGUCUUGCGUUCGUACAACUCCACGCUUGUCAUAGUUUACUUGAAAAUGGAGUUACGACUUUUCAAGUUGAAUGUUUCCAUAGAGUGAUUUUUGUAGAAUUAGGUCUAAAAAUUGUAAUUUGAGAUUUCAACGUUCUCUCUUUUUUUUUGGGGGGGGGGGAGGGGGGGGUGUUGAAAUUAAGGAUCUAUAAAGUCUUCGUUGGUAAACUUACUCUCAUAGGCCGAACGGUGAGGAAAUCCUGUAUAUUGACAAUAAAUAAAAAUAUGAAGUUAUGAAAUAAAUGUAAUAAAAAGAAGCUAUGACUAAUUUCAUUUAUUAAAAAGAAAAUAUGAUUAGGAAUGAGUAGUAUAAUAUUAAGAGCAGAACAAAUAUUGUGAACAAAAGUUCAUCGAUAGCGACUACACCGAAAAAAAAGGAUGCUGACUUAACAUUCGAGAUGUAAAAAAGUGCGUGCGACAACUCACAAAACGCUGAGUUGACCGUCACAGCAGUUGCUACAGCAGGUCAAGAUGUAAAGUUAACUGCUAUGGUGGUUAACUCAGCGUUUAAGAUGUCACAUACUUUGUUAAAUCCAGAAUGUUAAGUCAAAAUCUUCCUUUUUUCGGUGUAAUAAUCAAAUAUCAUAAAAAAUCAAAUAUUUUGUUCGGGUAAAAACUUUUUUUCGGGUGCGGGUUGACAGUCCAGAGGAAUAAGAUUGGAAAAAAAACCAUCAAAAUUAGCAGUUUAGUUGAAACAAUGUCCUCACCUCACUGAAAGGCUCAAUUCAUUGUGUGGUGGGCUUCAAUGCGAGGAUCUAAAACUACUGGGUGCCUUAUAUUCUUCAUUUACGUACACUUCGAAGACAUCUCUUACACAAGAAUAGUUGUUCUACAAAUCAUGAUCAUCACAUCACGAUAUCACAACUUGAGCAAAAAAGAUACUGACAUCCAACACCUGUAUGCAACUGUUCGUACCUAGGAGAUACAUUAGUUGUACACGGAUAAAAAGAGCACGAGGUUGUUUGAGGAUAUGGACAUUUCCAAUUACUUGUGGUAGAACCCCUAUUACUUGUGGUAGUGCCCCAAUUGAUUGUGGUAGUACCCCAAUAAAUUAGGUUACUAACCCAAAUGUUGCGGUACAACCUCAACUAGAGUUGCGGCACUACUACAAUUAAUUUGAAAUGUCCAUAUCAUCUAACAAAUUGGGGUAGUAGCACAAUUUUAGGGGAUAACCCCUUACACUUAUUUUUCCGUGUAUAACGAAGAAUUGAAAGCUUUCUGCCAUUUAGAUCCCUGCAGUAGGGUUGCACACGUGAAAUGAAAAAUAUGAAAGACUUGAAAUGCCCUUUCAUGAUAUUUCACGCGGCUGUGAAUAUUUCAUAUUUUUCAGGGGCUAGAGUAUGCAACCCGCACUAAUACACCCAAAAACAGAAGAAAGCCACAAUUUAUACAUUUCGCGAAAAAUAUAAAGGAACCGGUGUUUUUCAAUACCUUCCAUAAAUUUCUGAAAUUUCAUGAAAUAUUUCACGUGAAAUUUCAAGAUUUCAUUGUACAAGAAAAAUUGCAACUCUGAGUAAGACCCACCGUUGGCGCCGCAUCGCGUAGCAGUCGAAGUGGUGAGUGCGCGGACAGUCAAAACGCCUUCACUUCUGGGCGUAUGCAACCCGGACAACCCUGGAGCCCGAAUCGUUGCAUCCGGGAAUUCAAAUGCAAUUUGUACAGCGUUCGUCGCAUUCGACACUAUUUUAAGGGAACUUUGCGUUUCUCUUACAUUGUAACUUAAUUCGAGCGUUGUCUCUCGUGCCGAUAAAGUUAGAAAAACACUGUUGCCAAACUGCGAAAAUUGUCUCUUAAUAGAGGUGUCGUCAGCUAAGUUGUCGGUUGUAUUUACUUUCGGUUUGCAAGCACCGACGACGAUUUUGGGCCUAUCCACAGACCCUCGCUUGCUACUAUCCAUCUAAAAACAUCGGACUCUCGCGGUAAUGAAUAAUUAACAAAGUAACAAAAGCCUGAAUUGGUUUUCAAACAUCGAACAACUUUACUUUUCAGCUACAACGAAAUUACAACCACGUAAAGGUCGCGAAUCAUAACUGUAACAUAGUUUGUUUUACAAUAUGAUCACAAGACGAAUGUUUUCAAGAUGGAUAGUAGAGAGCGAGGGUCUGUGGAUAGGCCCAAAAUCGUCGUCGGCGCUUGCAAGCCAAAAGUAAACAACCGUCAACUUAGCUGACGACACCUCUACCACCUACGGAUCGUUGUUUUCUCGUGAUUUUCCAUCAUUUAGUGGGUCUAGCUCCAGCUUCUUGGAUGGAUGCCGUUCAUUUCUUCUGAUUAAUAAUCUGUAAAAAAUAAUAUAGUAGAAUCGUAUUUGAAACAAAUGGAGUUCCGGUAUCAUACAAUUUCAUUAAAUAAGUAUACUAGAAAUCAGUCGUGAUGUUAUAAGUCAUGCAAUUUUAAAGGUCUUCAUUUUGAAAAAUUGGUAGAAUUAAAGGGAAAAGUAUGGGGACUUGACUAUCUUGUUUCACUCACUAAGUUACGAGACAGAAGUCUAGCAUACCACUACUGGUAGUAGUAUGUUACGAAUGAUAUAUACAUUCUCUUUUGAACAUAUUGACUCCUCCAGGUAGCAGAGUAUUUUAAAAUCCUAUGGUGACUAAUUUUCAUUAUAUUUUCAUGUUAUCUUAUUUCAAAGUAUAUAC